CCCUGCUCUUGUAUUGAUUUCUAUUCUUAAUUAUCCUUGUCCUUACCCAUCUACUUUGAAACCCUUGCAUCUUCAUACAAGUGAGAAAGACUGAUAAUGACCUCUGCUGCUGAUACUGCUGUUGAAGCAGCUGCUGCACAGAAGCAGCUACAGCAUGAUCUUAUUAUAGAGAUGACAGCACAGAGAGAGAAUGCACUGAGAAUCAGCAGACAAAGCAGAUCAAAGAAUACACAGAUAGCAUACACAGGGAAGCAGAAUGAAUGGAUGAAAUGAUGUAAUGAAAAGAAGUUUUCAGAUGAUCAGAUUGUCUCUGAGCAGAAGACAAUCUGGUUCUUUAGUGAGAGAGUUCUCAAUCAUCCACUCAGAGGGGGCCAUCUCAAAAGAAAGUGUACAAAUGCUGAGGGAGAAGAGAUUGUGCAGACAAUAGAAGAGGAUCUGAUCAAGCAGUAUUGAGCAGCUCUUGUUGAUCUGUAUCAUACACAGCAGAGCAGACAGAAGAACUCCCAUCCUCACUCAAUUGACCAGGCCUUGAAUGGCAUGUUAAAGACUCACAGAUCUAUGAAGCAUGUACAGAGGCAUACAGAGUUUGUGGACAGAGGUGCAGACACUCUGAUGAACAGCUAUACUGAGCUGAAUAUGGUGAACUUUGUACAUCAGUGCUGAGAGAGGUGACAGAGGGAUGGAAGGCAUACAGUUGAGCCUCUUCUUCAUACAGCAGCUGACUUUCUCAUGAGUCACCAUAUACUGCUGAGAGAGCAGUUCAGACAAGAGAUGCAGUUGGCUGAUCUGUUUACAAUUGAGCUGUUAAAUGAGGGAUCAACACCCUGCUGACCUCUUAUUCAGAUCAUGAGUAAUGACAAGACAAAUCAGAACAAC
rnacentral:sRNA from 2 species